rnacentral:rRNA from 1 species
GACGAACGCUGGCGGCGUGCCUAAUACAUGCAAGUAGAACGCUGAAGAGAGGAGCUUGCUCUUCUUGGAUGAGUUGCGAACGGGUGAGUAACGCGUAGGUAACCUGCCUUGUAGCGGGGGAUAACUAUUGGAAACGAUAGCUAAUACCGCAUAACAAUGGAUAACACAUGUCGUUUAUUUGAAAGGGGCAAUUGCUCCACUACAAGAUGGACCUGCGUUGUAUUAGCUAGUAGGUGAGGUAAUGGCUCACCUAGGCGACGAUACAUAGCCGACCUGAGAGGGUGAUCGGCCACACUGGGACUGAGACACGGCCCAGACUCCUACGGGAGGCAGCAGUAGGGAAUCUUCGGCAAUGGGGGCAACCCUGACCGAGCAACGCCGCGUGAGUGAAGAAGGUUUUCGGAUCGUAAAGCUCUGUUGUAAGUCAAGAACGGGUGUGAGAGUGGAAAGUUCACACUGUGACGGUAGCUUACCAGAAAGGGACGGCUAACUACGUGCCAGCAGCCGCGGUAAUACGUAGGUCCCGAGCGUUGUCCGGAUUUAUUGGGCGUAAAGCGAGCGCAGGCGGUUUGAUAAGUCUGAAGUUAAAGGCUGUGGCUCAACCAUAGUUCGCUUUGGAAACUGUCAAACUUGAGUGCAGAAGGGGAGAGUGGAAUUCCAUGUGUAGCGGUGAAAUGCGUAGAUAUAUGGAGGAACACCGGUGGCGAAAGCGGCUCUCUGGUCUGUAACUGACGCUGAGGCUCGAAAGCGUGGGGAGCGAACAGGAUUAGAUACCCUGGUAGUCCACGCCGUAAACGAUGAGUGCUAGGUGUUGGAUCCUUUCCGGGAUUCAGUGCCGCAGCUAACGCAUUAAGCACUCCGCCUGGGGAGUACGACCGCAAGGUUGAAACUCAAAGGAAUUGACGGGGGCCCGCACAAGCGGUGGAGCAUGUGGUUUAAUUCGAAGCAACGCGAAGAACCUUACCAGGUCUUGACAUCCCGAUGCUAUUUCUAGAGAUAGAAAGUUACUUCGGUACAUCGGUGACAGGUGGUGCAUGGUUGUCGUCAGCUCGUGUCGUGAGAUGCUGGGUUAAGUCCCGCAACGAGCGCAACCCCUAUUGUUAGUUGCCAUCAUUCAGUUGGGCACUCUAGCGAGACUGCCGGUAAUAAACCGGAGGAAGGUGGGGAUGACGUCAAAUCAUCAUGCCCCUUAUGACCUGGGCUACACACGUGCUACAAUGGUUGGUACAACGAGUUGCGAGUCGGUGACGGCGAGCUAAUCUCUUAAAGCCAAUCUCAGUUCGGAUUGUAGGCUGCAACUCGCCUACAUGAAGUCGGAAUCGCUAGUAAUCGCGGAUCAGCACGCCGCGGUGAAUACGUUCCCGGGCCU